rnacentral:rRNA from 1 species
CCUUACUACUCGCAGCUGAUCAGCCAUGCCGCGUGUGUGAAGAAGGUCUUCGGAUUGUAAAGCACUUUAAGUUGGGAGGAAGGGCAGUAAGUUAAUACCUUGCUGUUUUGACGUUACCAACAGAAUAAGCACCGGCUAACUUCGUGCCAGCAGCCGCGGUAAUUACGCAUUAGCCCCUUGGCUGCACCCAUAGCAUUAUUAAUACAUUAGCCUGGUUGGGGGUGAAUACUUUUCUUUUUUUC